CGGCCGCAGAGUGCCCGGCGCCCGGUGGGGCUGAGAUCACUGGCGGGGCGCGCGUGGUCGGCCCGAUGCGGCGGCGACUCGGAGGUCUGUGAGCCGGCCGUCCGCCGUCGGAGCCCCGCGCGCCGCCGUGGGGUCUCGCGUCCCGGUCACCCGGGAUGCGGGCGGCCGAUUCGGGUUCAUGGGAGCGUGUCCGCCAGCUUGCGGCACACGGCCAGCCGGCUCCGUCCUGCGGGCGGGAUACCGGGCCCGCGCGCGUCCCGGACCUCGGAGCCUGCAAGCUAUGCGCGAACGCUGCGGUGAUGCUUCCGCUGCUGAAGGUGACCGGUCAUCUACACCGAGCGACAUCAACUCCCCAAGACACCGGACACACUCCCUCUGCAACGGCGACAGUCCCGGCCCAGUUCAGAAGAGCCUACACAACCCUAUUGUACAGUCACUAGAGGAUCUUGAAGACCAAAAACGGAAAAAGAAGAAAGAGAAGAUGGGAUUUGGCUCCAUCUCUCGAGUCUUCGCCAGAGGGAAACAACGGAAGUCCCUCGACCCGGGCCUCUUUGAUGGUACCGC
rnacentral:lncRNA from 1 species